rnacentral:ncRNA from 2 species
AGGGGAAGACGGCGCAAAUCCGUCGCGGUCCCGCCGCUGUGACCGGGGACGAAAGGCCGCCUUGCUUGAGCCACUGCCGCGCGCGCGGCGGGAAGGCGCGGCCCAGUAGGUCGAUCCGGGAGCCAGAACACCC